UCGGAGGGCUGGCCACAUGGGCAGCUGCAACCUGGGCAUGUAUGUCUGUGUGGUGGGGGGCUUCUGGACUGGGGGCUCGGCACUGACCCAGGAAGGGGAGCUGUGGCGGGGACAUCUGGCCCUAGUCUCAGAGCGACAUCCCUUGAACCGCCAUCUGGCCCUGGAAGGUGCAAGGGAGGCAGGCUGAGUCUGCUCAUGCUACCGCGGGCCGCCCAGGAAGGAAGCAGGCUGCCCGCCAGGCUGGCACGCGCCUCUUGCAGUGGAGGGUUUGCCCUUCAGGAAUGGAUGGAGACCCUCCAGGCUCCCUCGGCUGCACGCUGGGGGCGAGCACAGGCAGCCACAGGAGUCCUCCAAGCCCGGUGAGCCUGCCCUGUGGCACUGCCAGCACUUGGGACGCCAGACUCGCUUCAGGCAGUGGGCCCCGAGGGCACUGUGACAGCUCAGCACCCACCACAGACCAGCAACAGGACAACCGCCAGCACGCAGACGCCGAUGCAAGAGCUUUCUGGGGGACCCUCAUCUGUGACCUGCCUCCAGGGACACUUCCUUGCUCUACAGACACCACUGAUGUGAAGAUGCAGGAAACAGGACAACCCCGCAUGAAAGGUCCUGUCCACCCACCACUGAGGCCUGGCCCGACUUUCCAGAAGACUCUGCGGAGGACAUGCCUCUCGGAGUAAAGGAAACACAGCCCCGCUCCUGCGAAGACGGUGCUCAUUUCCAUCAGAGGCCACGCCCCCCACUCACACGCCAGGCACAAAGCCACACCUGCAGGAGCCUGCACCCCACCCAAUGCCAGGCACCCCGACAUGGUUCCCCAUUCCCUGGCACCACAGGCUCAAGCCCUGGUUCAGCACAGUCCCCACCGGGCUGUUGGACUCCUAGUAACCCCAGAGCCGGGUCAGGGAAGGAAGGUGCUGGGCCAGGCCUCUUGCACUCCUCAACAGUCCCCAUUUCACAGACAGGCAGGCUGAGGGCCCCAAGGAGAGGGCCCAAAGUUGCCACAUGAGCAAACACCACGUGGUUCAGGUGAGCUCAGAGACCUCGGGGUGCCCUCUCCUGCCCACAUGCCAAUGUCCCCCCGGCACAGGCCUCCUGGGUCAGCACUCACCUGCAGCUAGGCGGGGGUUGGGGAUGUGGGCGAUCCUCCUCUUCUCGCCAGGGGCAGAGAUGUGGACGGAGGGCAGCUUCUCUGCCAGCCUGGGGGGGGCCUGCAGCAAGCUCGCCGAUGCCCUCUGCGCCUGCUGGGCCCGCAGGUAGCACACCUCCUGUGCCGUCGGGGGCCGGGCCGGGGGCACCGCAGGACUCCUCCUUGGGGGCUCCGCCUGCAUCACCACAAAUGCUAAGGCCUGGCAGCACAGCGGGGGCACCUGGAGCAGGUGGCCCCAGGCAGGCUUGGGAGAGGGUGGCUGGAGCUCGGGGGACGGAGGCACCACCUCCUUGGCUACCUUCUGAGCUGCUGGGCACACUGGGGGGAAGCAGCAUGGAGCAGUGGUCCUCAAUGCCACGUGGCUCCAGGCUCCCCCACUUCGUGUCUCCCAGUGCCCAGGCUGUGUCCUCAGCCCUGAUAAGGCACGGGUGGGUGGGACUACCCCGAUUAGACUGGCACUCCAAUCCAAUGACACUACACCUAAUCUUCCUCAAAGCCCCUCCUCUGGGGAGGCUCUGGGACUGGAUCAACUUGGACUCUCCUGGCUGCUGGCCUGGGAGCCAGGCUCUCUGCUUUUCCUGCACUGCCUCGCUGCGUCUGCACAGGGGCCUGACAAGCGCUACUGUCUCCGGGCUACAGAGGACCCCGGGCUCAGAGCUGGACAACUGGCCCAGGCCCAGGCCGCACACGGCGCAGCAGGCAGUCUGCGGGAGGUCACCCUGGGGCUGCCGUCCCCGCUCUGACCCCUGCCCCAGCACUGUGGGUGAUCUAACAGGAAGGGGCAGGAGCCAGUUCUCUCUGGGACUCGGGCAGCAUCAAAGAUAAGAUGUCUUCAAAAACCUCAUGGAAAACGUGCACUGUGACGAAACUUGCAUGGAUUUCAAGUUUUUUGCCCCAAAAUAAACUGAUACUAACUUGA